UACGUAUGGUGCAAGCGUUAUCCGGAUUUACUGGGUGUAAAGGGAGCGCAGGCGGUGCGGCAAGUCUGAUGUGAAAGCCCGGGGCUCAACCCCGGUACUGCAUUGGAAACUGUCGUACUAGAGUGUCGGAGGGGUAAGUGGAAUUCCUAGUGUAGCGGUGAAAUGCGUAGAUAUUAGGAGGAACACCAGUGGCGAAAGCGGCUUACUGGACGAUAACUGACGCUGAGGCUCGAAAGCGUGGGGAGCAAACAGG
rnacentral:rRNA from 1 species